GAAUCACUCAAGAGGGGAGCAAAGCUCAGGAAAUGAGAUCAGCCCAGUCUCCAUGUGAUGAAGCAGAUCACAGAUCCUCCCCGGAUACACGUUUACCCCAAGAUGAGAGCAGGCUAAGAGCUGAGAGUGGAAAGAAUAUUGAUUGAACAUCUACUCAAGAACUGCAAAACAGAGAUUACCUGACCUAAAGCAUUUAUAUUGCCAAUCAUGUUGGAGAGUCCAUGUGGUGAUUUCUGAAAACGAGAUGUGAGAAAGAAGAGGAUAAUUUAAGUCUAGACCUACAGAUUGUGCUGAUAAAGUGAUGAAGAACUACAAUCUUCUUAGUCAUUUCAUUGUAUAAGUGCAAUAAAGGGUAUGUAAUAAAUUUGUAUGUUCAUA
rnacentral:lncRNA from 10 species